UGUUAAAAAUUUCAUUUAUUUCUAUUGUUGAAAAUUGAUGUGGUUAAUGGAAUAACUAAACAGUUACACGUGAUCUGCCACGUAUAUCUCAUGUUGAUGUACAAGGAUCGAUUUUUUAACAGUAAAAAUGGAUUGAAUUUUUAACA
rfam:Gossypium raimondii Chr11_contig_33, whole genome shotgun sequence.